AGUUGUGAAAAACCGAAAACAGCCUCAUCUUUAUUCCCCAAUUUCUACCUAAUGCCCUCACUCUCUCACGAUCCUGCUGCCCCCGAACCCUAGAAUCGUCGAAGCCUUCGCUGACCCGAAGCAGGAAAAGGCGAACCCUCCUCCGGUAUCGAUCCCUCCCUGGACACACCCGAAGAAGAGCGGAACUGGGUUGAGGUGUUGAUCGGAAAUUCUCCGUCACUCCACUGCCCGAGCAAUCAGCAACAACAAAGCCGAAUUCCUCCCAGGCCAGAACCGAAGCAGCUAGGGUUGAAGUCUCCUUCUAAUCGGAAAUUCUCCCCGGGAUCCUCCUUCAAUCCACAGCCGGAAAUCGCUUGUCUUUGGAUUUCAUGACCUAUUUGCCUUUGCUGGCAAGCAAAUCGUCUUCUGCCAUUCUCUGCUUUAUUACUGGACUUCUGAGCUGAGUCUGAGUUCGAUAUUUGAAGGCUCUGCCUCUGCUUCUAAGUUAUAUCUUUUGCUUUGACUGCUUCUAAGCAGAAUUGUAAUUCCUCACCAACUUGGACCAGCAACAUUCUUGCAUUUGGAUACAUUCCAAAUUAAGCAAAUUUGCUGUUAAGGUAAAAAUGAAAUUGCUCUAAUGCUGAAAUAGUAGUUUGGUUCUUUUGUGCAAUAAUAAUAACUGUGAAGGUGAUUUGAUAUUUAUAUUUUGGCAGCUAUCUGUUGAGUGUUGUUUUAGUAUUUAUAUUUUGGCAACUAUCUUUUGGUUGGUUUUAUAAUGGUGCAAUGGAAGAAGUCAUGAAAUUUGUUUGGUGUCACUGCUCCUUUUUGUUGGUGGAAGAAUGAAGUACAAUUUGUAGGGGACGUUUUGUUCAAAGUAUGGAGCAUUGCGAUGUACCAAGCUGGUGGUGUUGCCGGAAGUAUGAUUAGUAUAGCUAUUAUACCUUUUAAAAUGUAUACAAAUAUGCAGAAAUGACUAAAUUGUUUUGUAAACUUAUAGCCCAUGACCAUUAAUUGUUAUUAUUAUGUAGAACAUUAGUUAUGGUGUAAACAUGGUUACAAGUUUGCAUAUAAGAUUCUAUGGUUAGUUUUAGUGUUGUUGCGUUA